rnacentral:rRNA from 1 species
CCUACGGGAGGCAGCAGUGGGGAAUAUUGGACAAUGGGCGCAAGCCUGAUCCAGCCAUGCCGCGUGAGUAUGAAGGCCCUAGGGUUGUAAAGCUCUUUUGUGCGGGAAGAUAAUGACGGUACCGCAAGAAUAAGCCCCGGCAACUUCGUGCCAGCAGCCGCGGUAAUACGAAGGGGGCUAGCGUUGCUCGGAAUUACUGGGCGUAAAGGGUGCUAGGCGGGUCUUUAAGUCAGAGGUGAAAUCCUGGAGCUCAACUCCAGAACUGCCUUUGAUACUGAGGAUCUUAGUUCGGGAGAGGUGAGUGGAACUGCGAGUGUAGAGGUGAAAUUCGUAGAUAUUCGCAAGAACACCAGUGGCAAGGCGGCUCACUGGCCCGAUACUGACGCUGAGGCACGAAAGCGUGGGGAGCAAACAGGAUUAGAUACCCUGUAGUCCACGCCGUAAACGAUGAAUGCCAGCCGUUAGUGGGUUUACUCACUAGUGGCGCAGCUAACGCUUUAACAUUCCGCCUGGGGAGUACGGUCGCAAGAUUAAAACUCAAAGGAAUUGACGGA